UCCCAGUUUUCUGCCCUAUGCGUCUCUUUCUUUGGCUGUUCUAAUUUGUAUUCUUUCCCUAUAAUAAACAAAACUGUGAGCACAAUAACUUUCAGUAAGUCUGUGAGUCCUUUUAGCAAAUUACUGAACCUGAGGUGGUUAGGAAAACCCUCAACCGUGUAGUUGGUGCCAGAACUGAUCUUCCCUCUGAGUUUGUAGUUGAACCACAGCUCCUUGUAGUUACAGCUAGAAAUUUUGGGCAGACUACUGAAGUUUUCUGGAGGACUGUGCCCUCACCUUACAGUCUUGGCUCACUCUGGGUACUGCCCAAGAUGUCCCCCUCCAAAUAUUUCCUAUACCAAAACUGAGCAUCCAAAAGUAUAACACAAAUGGAACCGCUUAAAACACACUGAAUAUGUAACUCAAAAAGAAAAAAAGAGAGAGAGGGAAAUGAACAUUUUAACAAAGUUAUUUGCCUACUAUGAUGCAUUUUGCUUCUAGCCAGAUCUGAAUUUAAAGGGAAAGGACAUCCUUUCUCUAAAAACAGCUCUUGAUCUAGCAGGCAGUCUUGGAUGUGAAAAAUACUCUCAAAGCUGCCUCCUUAAUAGAUAAUGAUGGGAUCUGGAGACAAUAUAUAGAGUCUAGUGGAAUAAGCAAGAAGACAUCAAACAGUUAUAAGCAUUUUUUAUCCUCCUAGUUUAUUAAUUCUUUAUGAAAGAUGAUUCUGAGAGGAAAAACAUGAUGAAAAUAAGGCUAUAGAUAGGAGAUUGGAAAAUAACAUUGAAUUGCAAAAAUUUCCAGCUUUGUGGUAAUCUUGGGUAAAUCACUUAACCUUUAAGAUCUUACCUACUACACUUCUGCCUGUUUAACCUCAUAGAGUAAAAAGAAUGUAUUAAGACAGUACAGGAACGACCUGGUUAUGUGAAACAUAAGUGGUAUUAUAAAUAUCUAAUUCACACAGACAUGAUUCUACCCGACAGUUUCAACGAUAUUCCUGCAUUUAUUUGCACAGAACAAGUGAGGGAUGACAUUUCUUCAGCUCCACUGCACACAGCACUUGGUGCCCCACAGAUUUGAGGGAUAAGGUAAAGGAGUUAAGAAUAUCUGAGGUUUUACAUAAAUUCAUCAAAACAGGAAGCUACAUUUAUAGAUGACCUUUACUAUCAUAUCACAAUGAAAAAGCCAAGAGUGUUGGAGAAUUUAAAGAGCCUUAUGAUAUAAGGGAAAGAUUCAUGGAUAUAACCAGAAAGACAGGUAAGGCCCAAAACAGGAAGAAUCUUGCAGGAAGCUAAAAUUCUGAAGCAUUACAUAAUAAAGAGCCUUGUGGGCUUUGAGCAGGAAAACCACCUCAAGGGAGGAAUGUUCAUGAAAAUAACUCUGGUAGAAGAAUAAAGGUGGAAGACUAGUGAUUUCAAUGGAUGAUGAUGCCAUAAACUAGGGUGUGGUGAGGCCGAAAUGAAAUGGACUGUGUGAAGUACUGAGCAGUAUGCUGUCCAGAGGACAGUGUAUGGACGGCUGCGGAUUGCAAUUCCACAUCUUAAGGGCAGCUGCAGGAAGUCAAGCAGCCAUAGAAUCAGACUAAAAGCAACAUCUGGACACUCCUGGGGAACACAGCCGCUGGGUCACUAAGCCCUGGGAGUUCUGCUCUCUCUCUCAACAGGGGGGUUUUCUAGGCUCACAUUAGCAUUUGCAGAAUUCAAAGAUAAGAUCCAUCCCCGAUUCAGUAAUUUCUAUCUAACUAACCCUAAAGAAGUCAAUUCCACAAAAUAAUUAAAUGCAAAAAUACUCAUUGCAAUAUUAUUUCUAAUAUUAAAAGACUCUAAACAACCUAAACACCAACAAUAAAAGACUAGUUUAAAAUAUUAUUAAGUACCUACAUGAAGAAAAAAGUAUGUGGCUAUUAAAACAGCAUUUCAAACAGUAUAAAUACAUAAGAUGUUUAUAAUG